UACGAAGGGGGCUAGCGUUGCUCGGAAUCACUGGGCGUACAGCGCACGUAUGCGGCUUACUAAGUCAGGGGUGAAAUCCUGGAGCUCAACUCCAGAACUGCCUUUGAUACUGGUGAGCUUGAGUCCGGAAGAGGUGAGUGGAACUGCGAGUGUAGAGGUGAAAUUCGUAGAUAUUCGCAAGAACACCAGUGGCGAAGGCGGCUCACUGGUCCGGUACUGACGCUGAGGUGCGAAAGCGUGGGGAGCAAACAGG
rnacentral:rRNA from 1 species